UUUCCGUAGGUGAACCUGCGGAGGWCAUUA
rnacentral:rRNA from 1 species